ACUGACCCGAGUGCACUUGUGUGUACGUGGAUGUUUGUAUCUGUUGUUAGGGAGAGCAAGCAUUUGAAAUGGCGAGACGCCAACCGCUCGAAUCGCGCCAAGAGUGGCUACACCAUCAAAAAGCGUCCGAGUUCCCAGAGGCAAACACAAGGCCCAGGGAGAAGGACGCGCCCUCCGCGACUGUUGGGUCGACAGCGAGAAUCCAAAAGGGCCGCCCCCGGUGGAGCCGCUAGGACUGUCACGUUUGUUCCUCCCACUGUUGUAUCUGAGUCGCGUUUUGGUUCUCAGACUUUCCGUCUCUGCUUCCCCUUCCCUUCCACCCCCUCUUCCGCUGAUUCUCUCCCUCGGGCAUGUCUCACCUAAAGUUCAGGGUCUUGGGCUUCAGGCAGAGCAUGUUUGGAAGAGGGACCGAGGCAUUUCCGGCAGCCGCCAUCUCCUCCAUCAACGCUCCGCCGUGACGCCCCUCCAGUCCCGCGCCUCGUCCAGUCCGAGCCGCCUCGCGGCUGGUGCUUCCACGGGAACCGGGAGCGCCUUCGUUGUCAUCACAAAUGCCUCGACUCUCGGCUGUGGCCCCACGUGCCCCGGGCGACGACUCUCGGGACGCGUCGGUGUCGCUCGAGUGAGCGGGACGCAACGGCGAGGCACGUGGACAGAGAGAGGGCGAGGGCGAGGAAGGAGACGCAGUCAGAAGCACGGUCGGAAAGCCAAGCGAAGGCGCAGCGGAAGAGCGGAAACCAGCCGCGGAGGACGAACGGGGCGCGGGCGGCGAGGAAGAGGCAGCCGUCUUCAGACAGCGCAUGGACUUGUCGAUCGCCUCACCGACAGCGUCGUCUUCCGUCUGGCCAGUGUAGAUACACUGGAGGCCGCUGACACACCCAUCGGGGUUGGCCGCUUCCGGGUCCUCCCAGGUUCCCCAGACUUCCACGAGAGCGUCCCGGGAAACGUUCCCAGAGAGAAGGUGCCCGUGAAGGUGAUUGACGGCCACCACGAGUGGAGGCCGUCCUCGAGACAACUUCUCGUCUGCCUGCCAUUCCGGUGCGUUGUCGGAAGCCAGGCGUCGUAACAUGGCAUCUCUCUCUUCUUUUGACAGCCAAGAAAGUUCGCGUCCUGCCUCCGGAUCAAGGUCCCCAGCAUUCUCCGGUCUCUCUCCAGUGACUUGUGUUCCUUCCAAGGCUUCAUGGGCCUCUCUCCGCUCCGUUUCUGUUGAGGUCCGCUGCUUCGGGUCUUCGGCUGCCACGGAGUCGACUACGCGGUAACCGCUCCGUGCUUGUUUCCUCACAGAAUCUCGGAGGCUACCGCCGUUCUCCGCCACUACCGAUGGCGCCCGCGCGAGAGAGGACGCGUCGUCAGACAACGACGAAACGCUCGACGGAUUCGCGAACAGCUUCGCCUCCGCAUCUGCCCACGCCUCGGUCAGCUCGCCCGCAAUCUCCAGAGCCGCGGAAGCGCCAACCGAGAGACACGGAACGAUCCCCGGCCCUCGCGUGAAGGCAAUGAUGUCGAUAUCGAGCAGCGAGACACCUGGGAGAAAACCGGACAAGAGACUCUACGUGUGCACAAGGCAGGGGGAACAGUCAAGCGGGACGGCAGUCUGUCCUAUUGGUGCGAGCAACUGACAAGGGACGAACUGUAGCCUUCAACGCGAGACGGCACAAACUCAGGUCUGCCUACAUCUCCUGUAGAAUUGCCGUGCAGACGUCGUGAACUCAAAGCCAGCCACUAUUUCGGUCUACGACUCGCUGGCAAGCGGCAGGUGUUCCGCAAUCAUCUUACAGAGUCGCUCCGCCCGACGUGCAUAUACAUAAAAAUGUGUGCAGGAAAGGGUUCGGCCCUCCCUUGUGUGUUCCGUGAAGAGGUUGGGUCUGUCUCAUGUAUGCGCCGUUGAGCGUUCAUGCCCGUGUCUCUGUCUACACUGUCUGAAUACGGAGUUUACUGGCGGUGAGAGUGGAUGUUCGUGGCCAUCCAAGCAUGUGCAAACCCGGCGUUGCGACAAGGCAAUUUUCGUCGCUACUGUCCAAGACGAAAGGCGGUCAUAGAAGCAACCUCUGUAUCGCACUGUGCAUCCUUGAGACCGGCCACUGCCAAAUUCUGACGAGGCCGCAUGAAAAACCAUGGUAACGGUUCUCCCCAGUCAAACAGCGGUCAGCCCUUGCGCGGCUUCCGGGAAACUUACCAGCCUCCUGAAGAGCAUUCCUCACAAC
rnacentral:lncRNA from 1 species